rfam:Triticum aestivum genome assembly, contig: Triticum_aestivum_CS42_TGACv1_scaffold_406386_5BL
GGGUCCAUAGCUCAGUGGUAGAGCAAUUGACUGUAGAUCAAUAGGUCAUCGUUUCGAACCCGGUUGGGCCCU